rnacentral:rRNA from 1 species
GACGAACCGUGCGAACGUUGUUCGGAAUCACUGGGCUUAAAGGGCGCGUAGGCGGGCUGCCAAGUCCGGGGUGAAAGCCCCCCGCUCAACGGGGGAACGGCCUUGGAUACGGGCAGGCUGGAGUUCGGUAGGGGAGACUGGAAUUCCUGGUGUAGCGGUGAAAUGCGCAGAUAUCAGGAGGAACACCGGUGGCGAAGGCGGGUCUCUGGGCCGAUACUGACGCUGAGGAGCGAAAGCGUGGGGAGCGAACAGG